AAGAAAGCAUGCAAGAACUGCUAACUCAUGCUACCGUGAUUAAACCCACGGCUUUCUUA
rnacentral:tRNA from 1 species